rnacentral:lncRNA from 1 species
UGGGAUUUUGGCCCAAAUGUUAUCUCUUCAUCUGUGGCCCAAUACCAGCAUGUAACCGGCCCAUCUUGGAGCAAGCCCACACUUGAAAAAGCCCACGUGGAGAAUUGGUCUUGACCCAAUUAAGGGGUCAAAACGUGAAAAACGAUUAAUCUCUCCACCGAUAUACUGAUUCGGCUCUCUGCUUUUUUGUCCUCUUUUCUGGUCCGAUUUCUCCGCCGGAAAUCUGUGACACCAGUAUCCCGAUCCCUCGGCUUCCGUUGAAGUCGGUUCUUGGGGGCUAUUAAAUAGACCUCUUCUUCGUGAGAGAACAGUGACCAAGAGUGACCAAGAAAACUCAACCUGCUUUUCACCUUGUUCCAAAAUUUCUUCUUCGUGACGAUUCGACUCUUUGUGAGUCUCGACUCUUUGUGAGUCUCGACUCUUUGUGAGUCUCGACUCUUUGUGAGUCUCAACUCUUUGUGAGUGGUUGGGUGUUGGGUUGAGUGUUGUGUGUGUUUGAUUUAUUCGAACUCUUGGUCCUUUGUGUGUUGGGGUUUUUCGGGUUUUUUCGGUUAGAAAUCUGAGAGGGAUUUGGGCUAUUGGGCUUGUUCCGGUGGGUGCGUGGCUGCGGCUGGUGAGUCUUGGACGAGGACGGAGGGGGAUUGAGACUGAGCCGGGAACCUCAAUCGUCGACAGAGAUUCAUCCUCCCACGAAUCUGUGUGAUUCGCCGUGGUUUUGUUUUUCCCCCUUUAUUUCUUUAGUUUUAUAUUAUUUAUUUGUUUCUUACCUUUUUUGCAAUUAUCCUGAUUUGAUAAAGUCAUUAUAAUUGUUAUGCUUGGUUUUUGUUGUUAAGGUUAAAUAAUAUUAACAGUAGUUAAUAUUCUGUGUGAUUGUAUUCCGUACCCCUAUUCCCAUAAUUGUUUUGCAUAUUAAUUUAGUGAAUAUAAUGGCUGUUUUAUUUCCGAUUGUUUCUCCGGGCGGAUACCCAACAGUGGUAUCAGAGCUUUGUUAAGGGUCCGUCCGGAGCGGCGUACGAAACCCUGGUCCAGGGGUUUCGCUCAGGUAUUAAUUUCUACUCUUGGUGAGUUGAUUGAUUCUUUGUGAUAAUUAUACCUGUUAUUGGUGAAUCUUGGUGAUUCUUUGUUUAUUGCUUCCGCUAAUAUUUUGUGUGAAUCUGUGUGAUUCUUUAUCUUUGUGAUAUUUGAAAAAUUGGAAUCUUUGUGAUCCAUUUUUGGUCUGAAAUUGUGAAUCUUUGUGAUUCUAUAAUUGUGUUAUUUUUUUGAGAAAAAAAAAAAAAAAUUGUGAAUCUUUGUGAUUCGAUUUUGCUAAAGUCUAUUGAAUCUUUGUGAUUCUCGUGUGUGUUGAUCCUGCUGAUAUUUAAUCUUGGUGAUUUUGCUAUCUUUGUGAUACUUGAAUAUGGGAUCUAUGUCUAUGUUAACUUUAGCACCUUUCGAUGGAAAGGGUGAUUUUUUUAUCUGGCAACAGAAUAUGUGUUUGCAUUACUUUGUGUUUUGCCUGUUAUUUGCAUUACUUUGUGUUUUGCUUGUUUUUUGCAUUACUUGGUGUUUUGCUUGUGUUUGCAUUACUUUGUGUUUUGCUUGUUUUUUGCAUUACUUGGUGUUUUGCUUGUGUUUGCAUUACUUUGUGUUUUGUUUGUUUUUGCAUUACUUUGUGUUUUGUUUUUUAAACUUGUACUAACUUUGUGUUUUGAGUGCAGGUAGUGUCGUACGGCAAUGAUGAUCUCGUUUUUCCCCUUAAAUGUCCCGAUGACUCAUUUGGGCCAGGUGGAGAUUAUUGGGAUUUUGGCCCAAAUGUUAUCUCUUCAUCUGUGGCCCAAUACCAGCAUGUAACCGGCCCAUCUUGGAGCAAGCCCACACUUGAAAAAGCCCACGUGGAGAAUUGGUCUUGACCCAAUUAAGGGGUCAAAACGUGAAAAACGAUUAAUCUCUCCACCGAUAUACUGAUUCGGCUCUCUGCUUUUUUGUCCUCUUUUCUGGUCCGAUUUCUCCGCCGGAAAUCUGUGACACCAGUAUCCCGAUCCCUCGGCUUCCGUUGAAGUCGGUUCUUGGGGGCUAUUAAAUAGACCUCUUCUUCGUGAGAGAACAGUGACCAAGAGUGACCAAGAAAACUCAACCUGCUUUUCACCUUGUUCCAAAAUUUCUUCUUCGUGACGAUUCGACUCUUUGUGAGUCUCGACUCUUUGUGAGUCUCGACUCUUUGUGAGUCUCGACUCUUUGUGAGUCUCAACUCUUUGUGAGUGGUUGGGUGUUGGGUUGAGUGUUGUGUGUGUUUGAUUUAUUCGAACUCUUGGUCCUUUGUGUGUUGGGGUUUUUCGGGUUUUUUCGGUUAGAAAUCUGAGAGGGAUUUGGGCUAUUGGGCUUGUUCCGGUGGGUGCGUGGCUGCGGCUGGUGAGUCUUGGACGAGGACGGAGGGGGAUUGAGACUGAGCCGGGAACCUCAAUCGUCGACAGAGAUUCAUCCUCCCACGAAUCUGUGUGAUUCGCCGUGGUUUUGUUUUUCCCCCUUUAUUUCUUUAGUUUUAUAUUAUUUAUUUGUUUCUUACCUUUUUUGCAAUUAUCCUGAUUUGAUAAAGUCAUUAUAAUUGUUAUGCUUGGUUUUUGUUGUUAAGGUUAAAUAAUAUUAACAGUAGUUAAUAUUCUGUGUGAUUGUAUUCCGUACCCCUAUUCCCAUAAUUGUUUUGCAUAUUAAUUUAGUGAAUAUAAUGGCUGUUUUAUUUCCGAUUGUUUCUCCGGGCGGAUACCCAACAGGUUAACAUCUCCGUAAUGUACGCGGUGGUCGUCCUCGAUGUUCACAAAGGCGAUGUCGAAGAAGAGACAAGGGUUAAAUACUACGAUGGUAUUGUUGUUAUUAUUAUUAUUAUUAUUUGGCCGAGUUGUGUAGCGUUGGGAGAGAUCGAGGGCGGGGACAUAGAAUUCUUUGAUGAAGAAGCGUGGGCCCGGAAGCGUGGUCUUGACGGUUAGGGGUAUCGUUACGGCAACGGAAAUGAAGAUCGCUAAGGUAAUAAGUUGGCAUAAGCAGAUAGUUGCGCAUGUAUUCAUUGAUGGAGCUACAAAUUAAAGAGAAUUCCGUGGAGAAGAAGCUAUCUUAAUUUGUAGAAGUAGUAGCCUAUAGUUUUAUCUUUGCAAAUUCGGAUAUAGAUAGACUUUGUGUUUUUAGAACAAGUAUAAAGGUACAUGGGUUGAAACCGUCACACCUGUAUAUUGACUUUGUUGUUUUCAAAAGUGUUUUUUUGCAAAAACCAACUCUGUGUAAUUUUGAAGGGCUAAAAAAACUUCUGUAUUAUACAAAUU